rnacentral:lncRNA from 1 species
AAAACACACAGAAGUUUAUAGCAUAUGAAGUAAACCUUAGAGUAAUAAGAAAUUAAGUUUUAAAAGAACAUAUUAAAAUAAAUUUUGACAGAAUCCAGGAAAGAAUUCAGAAUGUGACAACGUAGUUUAACUAUUACAGAUAUAUUACUGAAAGAAGUGGGAGGAGUGUGCAACUUAAGCUACUUUGGAGAAGAACAGAGCAUGCCCAAGUGUGCCAGGACAGUGUGGAUACACACAUAUAUACUCCAGGGAGCACACACCAGUGUGUACACGUACACAUGGACAUUGCUGAAUUUGAGCAUAAUCCCCAGUUAUUUAAGUGAGGGCUGCACAUGGUGACUUCCUUCAGCGAGUACACCAUGGAAAGGAG